UGGGGAAUUUUGGACAAUGGGGGCAACCCUGAUCCAGCAAUGCCGCGUGUGUGAAGAAGGCCUUCGGGUUGUAAAGCACUUUUGUCCGGAAAGAAAACCKCKKCCCUAAUAUGGUGGKGGGAUGACGGUACCGGAAGAAUAAGCACCGGCUAACUACGUGCCAGCAGCCGCGGUAAUACGUAGGGUGCGAGCGUUAAUCGGAAUUACUGGGCGUAAAGCGUGCGCAGGCGGUCUGUUAAGACCGAUGUGAAAUCCCCGGGCUUAACCUGGGAACUGCAUUGGUGACUGGCAGGCUUUGAGUGUGGCAGAGGGAGGUAGAAUUCCACGUGUAGCAGUGAAAUGCGUAGAGAUGUGGAGGAAUACCGAUGGCGAAGGCAGCCUCCUGGGCCAACACUGACGCUCAUGCACGAAAGCGUGGGGAGCAAACAGGAUUAGAUACCCUGGUAGUCCACGCCCUAAACGAUGUCAACUAGUUGUUGGGGAUUCAUUUCCUUAGUAACGUAGCUAACGCGUGAAGUUGACCGCCUGGGGAGUACGGUCGCAAGAUUA
rnacentral:rRNA from 1 species